UAGGGAAUAUUGGGCAAUGGGCGCAAGCCUGACCCAGCCAUGCCGCGUGAGGGAAGAAGGUCCACUGGAUUGUAAACCUCUUUUAUGCAGGACUAAGGCCUUUGCAACUCAAGGGAUUGAAGGUACUGCAGGAAUAAGCACCGGCAAACUACGUGCCAGCAGCCGCGGUAAUACGUAGGGUGCAAGCGUUGUCCGGAUUUACUGGGUUUAAAGGGUGCGCAGGCGGGCUGCUAAGUCAGUGAUGAAAUGUCAGGGCUCAACCUUGGCGCUGUUACUGAUACUGGCGGUCUUGAGAACGGAUGAAGCAGCUAGAAUGAGUGGUGUAGCGGUGAAAUGCGUAGAGAUCACUCAGAAUACCGAUAGCGAAGGCAGGUUGCUGGACCGUAUCUGACGCUCAGGC
rnacentral:rRNA from 1 species